rnacentral:rRNA from 1 species
UACAGAGGUCCCAAGCGUUGUUCGGAUUCAUUGGGCGUAAAGGGUGCGUAGGUGGCGUCGUAAGUCGGGUGUGAAAUUUCGGAGCUCAACUCCGAAACUUCAUUCGAUACUGCGGUGCUUGAGGACUGGAGAGGAGACUGGAAUUUACGGUGUAGCAGUGAAAUGCGUAGAGAUCGUAAGGAAGACCAGUGGCGAAGGCGGGUCUCUGGACAGUUCCUGACACUGAGGCACGAAGGCCAGGGGAGCAAACGGG